CCACUUAGGCGUUUUCUACGAUGUCCGUAGCGGCCUUGAAAACGUAGGAGGUGCCACUGGGAGGGCACUAGUGAGACGUGGGUCCAGCACGUGCCGUCUGGAGCCUACUGGUAUCAAUCUGCUGUGCGGUGUUCGUCAUGAGCCUAGUUCAUGAGAUGACAUCAGCACCUUUCUAGCAUCUAACGCCCUGUUCUAGCACACCUGUUAGCCUAGUACACGUGUGCAGAUAGCUGGUUCCUGACUAAGGGAUUGCGGAGAAAUUCGAAACGGGAUUUUUUCGUUUUGCUCCAUUCGGACGACCGAAAGAACCUUUUCAAUCGCUGUGUCUUCCAUUUCGUUUCGUUGCAUUAGACCUUAAACAUGUUGAAAUCCUGUAAAAGACAUUGGGACAUUCUCCUCAUUCUUAGUCGCUGACACACAUAAGUAGUAUGAUGUUUUCAUGGCUUAUGGCCGGAUCAAAGAUGGAAAAGUGGCAGAUGAAGUCCGGAGGGUUUUCCUCCUCCCUCUGUAUAUACCAGGACACAUACCAGUAUGGUGUGUCCGAAGGGUAUAAGACAAACGACCAGGACUGAAGCCGGGAAACUAUUUGUCGUUAUUCUAAAUGACAAAAGUCACUCGAGCAUCGUGUCAGAAACCGCAGCGUUGGACAACAGGUUUCGUCAAUUCAUCGACAAGAA